UUAUCACUAUUGCUCUGUAAUACUGCUUA
rnacentral:piRNA from 1 species